GGGCCCGCACAAGCGGUGGAGCAUGUGGUUUAAUUCGAUGAUACGCGAGGAACCUUACCAGGGCUUAAAUGUAGUGGGACAGGUCUAGAGAUAGCUAUUUCUUCGGACCACUUACAAGGUGCUGCAUGGUUGUCGUCAGCUCGUGCCGUGAGGUGUCAGGUUAAGUCCUAUAACGAGCGCAACCCCUGUUGUUAGUUGCCAGCGAGUCAUGUCGGGAACUCUAACAAGACUGCCGGUGCAAACCGUGAGGAAGGUGGGGAUGACGUCAGGUCAGUAUGGCCCUUACGCCUAGGGCUACACACGUGCUACAAUGGCCGGUACAAACGGUUGCGAACCCGCGAGGGGAAGCUAA
rnacentral:rRNA from 1 species